GACGAACGCUGGCGGCGUGCUUAACACAUGCAAGUCGAACGGAAAGGCGCUGCUUUUGUGGGGUGCACGAGUGGCGCGCGGGUGAGUAACACGUGAGUAACCUGCCCUUGACUUUGGGAUAAAAUUUGGGAACUGGGGAUAAUACCGGGGAUGAGCUCCUGAUGCAUGGGGGGGGAUGGAAAGAGUCGGCGGUUGGGGAUGGAUUCGAGGCUUAUGAGCUUGUUGGUGGGGUAGUGGCUUACCAGGGCUUUGACGGUUAGGCGGCCUGAGAGGGUGACCGGCCACCUUGCGACUGCGAUACGCCCCAGACGCCUACGUGCGGCAGCAGUGGAGAAUAUUGCACAAUGGGCGGAAGCCUGAUGCAGCAACGCCGCGUGCGGGAUACCGUCCUUCGGGUUGUAAACCGCUUUCGCCUUUGACGAAGCCUGAGUGACGGUACUUGGUCAAAAAGCACCGGCUAACUACGUG
rnacentral:rRNA from 1 species